GACGAACGCUGGCGGCGUGCUUAACACAUGCAAGUCGAACGGACAGGCCCUGCUCUUGUGGGGUUCUCGUGUGGCGAACGGGUGAGUAACACGUGAGUAACCUGCCCCUGUCUUUGGGAUAACUUCACGAGACUGGGGCUAAUACCGGAUAGGAUCUCCUGCUGCAUGGUGUUGGUUGGUAAGUGUCGGCGGUUGGGGAUGGACUCGCGGCUUAUCAGCUUGUUGGUCGGGUAGUGGCUUACCAAGGCUUUGACGGGUAGCCGGCCUGAGCGGGUGACCGGCCACAUUGGGACUGAGAUACGGCCCAGACGCCGACGGGAGGCAGCAGUGGGGAAUAUUGCACAAUGGGCGGAAGCCUGAGGCAGCAACGCCGCGUGCGGGAUGACGGCCUUCGGGUUGUAAACCGCUUUCGCCUGUGACGAAGCGUGAGUGACGGUAAUGGGUAAAGAAGCACCGGCUAACUACGUG
rnacentral:rRNA from 1 species